ACUAUCGAUAAUACAGGAAAAU
rnacentral:snRNA from 1 species